GACGAACGCUGGCGGCGUGCUUAACACAUGCAAGUCGAACGGAAAGGCCCUGCUUUUGUGGGGUGCUCGAGUGGCGAACGGGUGAGUAACACUUGAGUAACCUGCCCUUGACUUUGGGAUAACUUCAGGAAACUGGGGCUAAUACCGGAUAGGAGCUCCUGCUGCAUGGUGGGGGUUGGAAAGUUUCGGCGGUUGGGGAUGGACUCGCGGCUUAUCAGCUUGUUGGUGGGGUAGUGGCUUACCAAGGCUUUGACGGGUAGCCGGCCUGAGAGGGUGACCGGCCACAUUGGGACUGAGAUACGGCACAGACUCCUACGGGAGGCAGAAGUGGGGAAUAUUGCACAAUGGGCGGAAGCCUGAUGCAGCAAAGCCGCGUGCGGGAUGACGGCCUUCGGGUUGUAAACCGCUUUCGCCUGUGACGAAGCGUGAGUGACGGUAAUGGGUAAAGAAGCACCGGCUAACUACGUG
rnacentral:rRNA from 1 species